CGUGGGUAACCAGCCCAUCAGAAGGGGAUAACACUUGGAAACAGGUGCUAAUACCGUAUAACAAUCGAAACCGCAUGGUUUUGAUUUGAAAGGCGCUUUCGGGUGUCGCUGAUGGAUGGACCCGCGGUGCAUUAGCUAGUUGGUGAGGUAACGGCUCACCAAGGCCACGAUGCAUAGCCGACCUGAGAGGGUGAUCGGCCACAUUGGGACUGAGACACGGCCCAAACUCAUACGGGAGGCAGCAGUAGGGAAUCUUCGGCAAUGGACGAAAGUCUGACCGAGCAACGCCGCGUGAGUGAAGAAGGUUUUCGGAUCGUAAAACUCUGUUGUUAGAGAAGAACAAGGAUGAGAGUAACUGUUCAUCCCUUGACGGUAUCUAACCAGAAAGCCACGGCUAACUACGUGCCAGCAGCCGCGGUAAUACGUAGGUGGCAAGCGUUGUCCGGAUUUAUUGGGCGUAAAGCGAGCGCAGGCGGUUUCUUAAGUCUGAUGUGAAAGCCCCCGGCUCAACCGGGGAGGGUCAUUGGAAACUGGGAGACUUGAGUGCAGAAGAGGAGAGUGGAAUUCCAUGUGUAGCGGUGAAAUGCGUAGAUAUAUGGAGGAACACCAGUGGCGAAGGCGGCUCUCUGGUCUGUAACUGACGCUGAGGCUCGAAAGCGUGGGGAGCAAACAGGAUUAGAUACCCUGGUAGUCCACGCCGUAAACGAUGAGUGCUAAGUGUUGGAGGGUUUCCGCCCUUCAGUGCUGCAGCUAACGCAUUAAGCACUCCGCCUGGGGAGUACGACCGCAAGGUUGAAACUCAAAGGAAUUGACGGGGGCCCGCACAAGCGGUGGAGCAUGUGGUUUAAUUCGAAGCAACGCGAAGAACCUUACCAGGUCUUGACAUCCUUUUGACCACUCUAGAAGAUAGAGCUUCCCCUUUCGGGGGCAAAGUGACAGGUGGUGCAUGGUUGUCGUCAGCUCCGGGCCGGGAAAUGUUGGG
rnacentral:rRNA from 1 species